AUUGAACGCUGGCGGCAUGCCUUACACAUGCAAGUCGAACGGUAACAGGUUAAGCUGCCGAGUGGCGAACGGGUGAGUAAUACAUCGGAACGUGCCCAGUAGUGUGGGAUAGCCCGGCGAAAGCCGGAUUAAUACCGCAUACGACCUAAGGGUGAAAGGGGGGGAUCGCAAGACCUCUCGCUAUUGGAGCGGCCGAUGUCAGAUUAGCUAGUUGGUGGGGUAAAAGCUCACCAAGGCGACGAUCUGUAGCUGGUCUGGGAGGACGACCAGCCACACUGGGACUGAGACACGGCCCAGACUCCUACGGGAGGCAGCAGUGGGGAAUUUUGGACAAUGGGCGCAAGCCUGAUCCAGCCAUGCCGCGUGCGGGAAGAAGGCCUUCGGGUUGUAAACCGCUUUUGUCAGGGAAGAAAUCCUUUGGGUUAAUACCUCGGGGGGAUGACGGUACCUGAAGAAUAAGCACCGGCUAACUACGUG
rnacentral:rRNA from 1 species